rnacentral:misc_RNA from 1 species
CUUCACUUUCAUUCACUCACUGGCUCAUUAUAACUCCAAAAGUAGCAAUACAGAGGAAGAGGAAAGAAUGAUAAAGAAGGAGAAAUUCUUGAAGGAACAUCCAUAUUUGCUGGAAAAGGAGGUCUCUCGCUCUGAUUUUCCUCCUAAUUUUCUCUUUGGUGUUGCCACUUCUGCCUAUCAGAUUGAAGGUGGCUGCAGGGAAGGUGGUAGAGGUCCUAGUAUAUGGGAUGCUUUUUCACACACCAAAGGAACUAUUCUUGAUGGAAGCAAUGGUGAUGUGGCAGUGGAUCAUUAUCAUCGAUACAAGGAAGACAUUGAACUCAUCGCUAAGUUGGGGUUUGAUGCUUAUCGAUUUUCCAUAUCAUGGUCUCGCAUUUUCCCUGAUGGUUUGGGAACCAAAGUCAAUGAAGAAGGGAUAGCAUUCUAUAACAAUAUCAUUAAUGCUCUUCUUGAAAAGGGUAUAGAGCCAUAUAUAACUCUGUACCAUUGGGAUCUCCCCUUGCAUCUUCAAGAGUCAAUGGGAGGGUGGUUGAAUAAGGAAAUUGUAAAAUACUUUGCAAUCUAUGCAGACACUUGCUUUGCAAGUUUUGGUGAUAGAGUUAAGAAAUGGAUUACUCUAAAUGAGCCUCUCCAAACAGCAGUAAAUGGAUUUGAUACUGGAAUACUUGCUCCUGGAAAACAUGAACAUUCAGAUACAGAACCAUUUUUGGCUUCACACCACCAGAUCUUGGCCCAUGCAACAGCUGUUUCCAUAUACCGCAGCAUGUACAAAGACAAUCAAGGAGGAGAAGUAGGCUUGGUGGUGGACUGUGAAUGGGCUGAAGCUAAUUCAGAUAAAAUUGAAGAUAAAGCUGCUGCUGCAAAACGGCUUGAGUUUCAGCUUGGAUGGUAUUUGCAUCCUUUAUAUUAUGGAGACUAUCCUGAAGUUAUGCGUAAAAUACUGGGAGAUGGGCUCCCAAAAUUCUCAGAGGAAGAUAAGGAAUUACUUAGGAACUCACUUGACUUCAUUGGUCUAAAUCACUAUUCUUCAAGAUUCAUUAAGCAUGUUACAGAUAGCCCUGCAGAAUGCUAUUACUAUAAAGCCCAAGAAAUUGAGAGACUUGCUAAAUGGGAAGAUGGUGAGCCAAUCGGCGAGAGGGCAGCAUCAGAAUGGCUCUAUGUUUGUCCUUGGGGACUUCGGAAGGUUCUCAAUUACAUAGUCCAGAGAUACAAUAAUCCCAUAAUUUAUGUUACUGAGAAUGGUAUGGAUGAUGAAGACUCCAGUGCCCCUCUCCAUGAAAUGCUAGAUGACAAACUGAGAGUUCGCUAUUUUAAAGGAUACCUUGCUGCAGUUGCUCAGGCAAUCAAAGACGGAGCAGAUGUGAGGGGAUAUUUUGCAUGGUCAUUGUUGGACAAUUUUGAAUGGGCUCAAGGUUAUACCAAGCGUUUUGGUUUGAUCUAUGUGGAUUACAAGAAUGGACUUGCUCGCCACCCAAAGUCUUCUGCUUAUUGGUUCAUGAGGUUCUUGAAAGGUGAUGAAGGGAAAAAUGGCAAAGAGUGACUCACUUGUACUGUAACAGGAAGCCCAGUUCUGAUUUUCAGUUUGUUUUCAUUAUAUUACCUGAUAAUUGGCCAAGUAUUGUACUUUUGGCAGAAGGGUUUUGUACUUUUAUCUCUCCCCCUUUGUUAUAAUGAGACAAAUUCCGUAUGUCUCU